AUUUAUAUAAUAUAACAAUUAUAUUUGACUUCCAAUCAAAAAAUCUAGAAAA
rnacentral:tRNA from 1 species